ACUACGACUCUCGACAAUGGAUAUCUCGGCUCUCGCUUCGAUGAAGAACGUAGCGAAAUGCGAUACCUUGUGUGAAUUGCAGAAUCCCGUGAACCAUCGAAUCUUUGAACGCAAGUUGCGCCCGAGGCCUAGGCUGAGGGCACGUCUGCCUGGGUGUCGUGAAA
rnacentral:rRNA from 1 species